ACAUGCCUACAACAUAACGUCAAUGCACCAGAUCCCAUUAGAACUCGACAGUUAAGCGCACUUGGGCUAGAGUAGUACUGGGAUGGGUGACCACCCGCGAAGUCCUAGUAUUUUACAUGCC
rnacentral:rRNA from 1 species